rnacentral:tRNA from 1 species
AGCAGAGUGGCUCAGUGGAAAGAGCACAGGCUUGGGGGUCAGAGGCCAUGGGUUCUAAUCCCAGCUCACCUG